rnacentral:rRNA from 1 species
UUCCUCAGCGGAAAUCACUCGGAAUAACCUCGUCGUGCUUUCGCACAUUGCGAAGGUU